rnacentral:rRNA from 1 species
UUCGCAAUGCCCGAAAGGGUGACGAAGCGACGCCGCGUGCGGGAAGAAGGCCUUCGGGUUGUAAACCGCUGUCGGGAGUUAAGAAAUGCAAGGGUGUUAAUAGUAUCCUUGCUUGACUAAGGCUCCGGAGGAAGCCACGGCUAACUCUGUGCCAGCAGCCGCGGUAAUACAGAGGCGGCAAACGUUGUUCGGAAUUAUUGGGCGUAAAGAGCACGUAGGCGGCUGUGUAAGUCGGUUGUGAAAGCCUUCCGCUCAACGGGAGAACGGCAUCCGAUACUGCAUGGCUUGAGUGCGGGAGGGGAGAGUGGAACUUCUGGUGGAGCGGUGAAAUGCGUAGAUAUCAGAAGGAACACCGGCGGCGAAGGCGACUCUCUGGCCCGUAACUGACGCUGAGUGUGCGAAAGCUAGGGGAGCAAACGGGAUUAGAUACCCCGGUAGUCCUAGCCGUAAACGAUGGGCACUAAGUAGAGGGGUUUU